UGCUCUUAAAGGUUGUUUACACCUUGUGUGGAAGUCAGUCCCAGUCAGCACACAGCAUGGACAUGAGGGUCCCUGCGAAGCUCCUGGGGCUCCUCCUGCUCUGGCUCCCAGGUGCCAAAUGUGACAUCCAGAUGACCCAGACUCCAUCCUCCCUGUCUGCAUCUCCAGGAAACACAGUCACCAUCAAUUGCAGGGCCAGUCAGGGCAUUAGCAGUUGGUUAGCCUGGUUUCAGCAGAAACCAGGGAAAGCUCCUAAGCGGCUGAUAUAUAGAGCAUCCAAUUUAGAAUCAGGUGUCCCAUCCAGGUUCAGUGGCAGUGGAUCUGGGACAGAUUACUCUCUUACUAUCAGCAGCCUGCAGCCUGAAGAUUUUGCCACUUAUUACUGUAUGCAGUAUGAUAAUUUUCCCAUUAGUUCUGUCUUCCUUAGACAUGAGUAGCUUUUGAAUUAUCAUGAAUAGCUGUUGACUUUUAGAAAUAUUCUCAACUACUGUACUAAUAUUACCUUGUUUCUAAUCUUGAUAGAGUGGUGAAUUAUAUGGCUUAACAGAUUAUUUUAAAAUCACAUAUUUUGAAAAUGGCUUUCCAUUUGUGUAGUAUAUUUAACUUGCUCAAAAAUGGAGUCUUUGAGAGAAGGAGGAGGAGGUAAACAUGGAGGAAGAAGUGGAGGAGGAGAAUAAGAUGAAUUUCUCCUUUAAUAUGACAAAUUUGAACAAUGUGAGGAAGAGAAAAGAUGAAGUUCUUUUCAUCUAUAGUCACAAAGAUAGGGUAUAAAGAUAAUUGUGGAAUUUAAAUGAUAUUAAUAAAGUUUUAUGAAGGUGAAUAAAACAGAUGGAAAGAAAUGAUGACCUGAGCCACCGACAAGAUGGGAAGUGCUGCUCCAACUCCACAUGGAGAUGACCUUGGAGAAAGCAUGGCCAUUGUGGUCCACAAUGCUGCAAGAACAAGAUUUGUUGAUGCACAGCUAUCCCAUUUGGGGAAAUGAUAUAAUUUAUCCUAACCUCAAACAUAACUGUACAAGGCAAAACUCAAAUGAGAUGAGUGGAAAGUGUCUUUUUCCCACUUCCUAUGGUACCCCUGUCUUGUCAGUUACAAUGGAAAAUGUUUAAUUUUCCAUGGA